rnacentral:tRNA from 2 species
GCGGGUGUAGCUCAGUUGGUAGAGUCCCAGCUUCCCAAGCUGGCUGUCGCGAGUUCGAAUCUCGUCGCCCGCUCCA